UACGUAGGGGGCAAGCGUUGUCCGGAAUUAUUGGGCGUAAAGAGCGUGUAGGCGGUCCGGUAAGUCAGCUGUGAAAGUCAAGGGCUCAACCCUUGAAGUGCCGGUUGAUACUGUCGGGCUAGAGUCCGGAAGAGGCGAGUGGAAUUCCCGGUGUAGCGGUGAAAUGCGUAGAUAUUGGGAAGAACACCUGAGGCGAAGGCGGGUUGCUGGGCCGACACUGGACGCUGAGGCGCGAAAGCCCAGGGGGAGCGAACCGGGG
rnacentral:rRNA from 1 species